rnacentral:rRNA from 1 species
UGCGUAGGCGGCUUCUUAAGUCGGAUGUGAAAUCCCUGAGCUUAACUUAGGAAUUGCAUUCGAUACUGGUUGGCUAGAGUGUGGGAGAGGAUGGUAGAAUUCCAGGUGUAGCGGUGAAAUGCGUAGAGAUAUGGAGGAAGACCGAUGGCGAAGGCAGCCAUCUGGCCUAACACUGACGCUGAGGUGCGAAAGCAUGGGGAGCAAACAGGAUUAGAUACCCGAGUA